rnacentral:lncRNA from 1 species
ACUUAGUAGAUCGAAAUUAUUAUUUCAGAUUCAGCAACAAGCUGUUGGCAAAUCUCAUUCAUCUGUUCAUUUAUUGUAUUCAAUUUUUCACACCGUUAUCUUACAGCCAAACUGAUAUGAUAAAUUACUCCACUCAAUACAUGGAUAAGAUAAUCGUUUAGUGAAUUUCGAUUGUAGACAUGAGUAACAUCUGAUUAAUGAAAUUCAAGUAAAAUAUAUUGUGCAAGGCACAUGAAUACAUUUUGGAUAAUCAUCCAUUAUUAACUAUGGAGGGAUGUGAAGAUGUAGUUACAUCACGAAUAAGUUUGAGAGACCUUUCCGGAUUGAGUGAGAGCUGCUUUGACGAAGAGGUUACUUCAGUCUCAUCCACGUAUCACGAUGAAAGGAAGUGGAGACUGUCCUAUUUGAAAAGUCAAUUUGAAUCUUUCAAACUAGAUACAUUGUACAAGACGUAUACAGAAAAAAUAAAUCAUGGAUACUUCUCAUUAUUUCUAAUACUCCAAUGCAUCCUAAGUUUGAUGCAUUUAGUGAUAAUUAUCGUCAGUAACAAGGUAUGUAUCC